rnacentral:rRNA from 1 species
CACGGAAUUAGCCGGUCCUUUUCUGAUGGUACACUCCAGAGGCGACACGUCGCCUUUUUGUUCCCAACUAAAAGCAGUUUACAACCCAGAGGGCCGUCGUCCUGCACGCUACUUGGCUGGUUCAGACUCUCGUCCAUUGACCAAUAUUCCUCACUGCUGCCUCCCGUAGGAGUUUGGACCGUGUCUCAGUUCCAAUGUGGGGGACCUUCCUCUCAGAACCCCUACUGAUCGAAGGCUAGGUGGGCCAUUACCCCGCCUACUACCUAAUCAGACGCAUCGCCAUCCUUUACCAAUAAAUCUUUAGUUGCAAUAAGAUGCCUCAUCGCAACACUAUCAGGUAUUAAUCUUACUUUGCAAGGCUAUCCCUGAGUAAAGGGCAGGUUCGAUACGCGUUACGCACCCGUGCGCCGGUCGACGCCCAUUAAAAGCAAGCUUUCAAUGUCGUUUCCCCUCGACUUGCAUGUGUUAAGCCUGUAGCUAGCGUUCAUCCUGAGCCAGGAUCAAAACUCU